ACGAACGCUGGCGGCGUGCUUAACACAUGCAAGUCGAACGGAAAGGCCCUGCUUUUGUGGGGUGCUCGAGUGGCGAACGGGUGAGUAACACGUGAGUAACCUGCCCUUGACUUUGGGAUAACUUCAGGAAACUGGGGCUAAUACCGGAUAGGAGCUCCUGCUGCAUGGUGGGGGUUGGAAAGUUUCGGCGGUUGGGGAUGGACUCGCGGCUUAUCAGCUUGUUGGUGGGGUAGUGGCUUACCAAGGCUUUGACGGGUAGCCGGCCUGAGAGGGUGACCGGCCACAUUGGGACUGAGAUACGGCCCAGACUCCUACGGGAGGCAGCAGUGGGGAAUAUUGCACAAUGGGCGGAAGCCUGAUGCAGCAACGCCGCGUGCGGGAUGACGGCCUUCGGGUUGUAAACCGCUUUCGCCUGUGACGAAGCGUGAGUGACGGUAAUGGGUAAAGAAGCACCGGCUAACUAAGUG
rnacentral:rRNA from 1 species